rnacentral:rRNA from 1 species
UGGUUUAAUUCGAAGCAACGCGCAGAACCUUACCAACCCUUGACAUCCUGUGCUACAUCCAGAGAUGGAUGGUUCCCUUUUGGGACGCAGUGACAGGUGCUGCAUGGCUGUCGUCAGCUCGUGUCGUGAGAUGUUCGGUUAAGUCCGGCAACGAGCGCAACCCACAUCCCUAGUUGCCAGCAGUUCGGCUGGGCACUCUAUGGAAACUGCCCGUGAUAAGCGGGAGGAAGGUGUGGAUGACGUCAAGUCCUCAUGGCCCUUACGGGUUGGGCUACACACGUGCUACAAUGGCAUCUACAGUGGGUUAAUCCCCAAAAGAUGUCUCAGUUCGGAUUGUCGUCUGCAACUCGACGGCAUGAAGUCGGAAUCGCUAGUAAUCGCGUAACAGCAUGACGCGGUGAAUACGUUCCCGGGCCUUGUACACACCGCCCGUG